rnacentral:rRNA from 1 species
UGGGGAAUAUUGCACAAUGGGCGCAAGCCUGAUGCAGCCAUGCCGCGUGUAUGAAGAAGGCCUUAGGGUUGUAAAGUACUAUCAGCGGGGAGGAUGGUGUUAAGAUUAAUACUCUUAGCAAUUGACGUUACCCGCAGAAGAAGCACCGGCUAACUCCGUGCCAGCAGCCGCGGUAAUACGGAAGGUGCAAGCGUUAAUCGGAAUUACUGGGCGUAAAGUGCACGCAGGCGGUCAAUUAAGUCAGAUGUGAAAGCCCCGAGCUUAACUUGGGAUCUGCAUCUGAAGCUGGUUGGCUAGAGUCUUGUAGAGGGGUGUAGAAUUCCACGUGUAGCGAUGAUAUGCGUAGAGAUGUGGAGGAAUACCGGUGGCGAAGGCGGCCCCCUGGACAAAGACUGACGCUCAGGUGCGACAGCGUGGGGAGCAAACAGGA